rnacentral:lncRNA from 1 species
UUCUAUUACAUGCUGAGCCCAAACAUGGAGAAAUGCAACAUAUAUAUAGCUCAUACUGGCACAUGCAGACUCAGAACGCUGUGCAGAACUAUCUCCAUAUGACCAAUAUUUCCUGUCUGCAAAGUUUAAAUAAGGAAUCAAAAGCAGAAAUCAACAGAUAAAAAAAUGAAAUUUAUGCAGAAAGAAAAACAGCAGGGAACCCAUAUCAAUUAAUAAGCAUCCCCAUGCAUUCAAAAGAUGUAGGGAAGGGAGAAUCAAAAGGAAGAGGUCAUCACCAUCCUCCUCCCUCCUCCUAAGGUGAUCUCUAUUGCUCAUGUCCACAGCAAAACUAAAAAUAACAUCAAGAGAAAUAAGGAAAACUAAUUACUAAAGCUAGUUAUGCAGUUCAUAUAAUUCAGUUUCUUUAGGUUUUGGCUAGUACCUUGAUAAAAUGAGUCAGGCACCAACACCUAGGAUGGGGGAGGCUCGUCCUCGCCUACUCUUGCUGGAGCAGGGACAAUCUGAAAAUAAAUAAAUUAUUUGGUUCAUAUAAGCAUCAGUAAGAACAUAUUCCAUGUACUAGUUACUAUAGCACAUAAGACUGAGAGAAUGCAGUACAAACAUCCAACGGUGUUUAGAAGAGGGAAAUUCCAUGUACUGAACUAAGUGAAAAUAAAUAAAUUGUAUAUUCACCUUCUCUGUAUAGACCUACACAUUUCUCUACAAUCUAAUUUCAUUAGCCUCUCCAUCAGCUAUCUACUUUGUUCUCCGUGGGGGCUGUGGCACAACACAGAUGGGACAUGGCAGGCAAGCAAAGAAGCAAGCAAGCAAAGAAGUGUCUCCGUGCGGCGUGUAGAGAGAGAGAGGAGAAGAAGCUAGUGGUGCUAGUGGCCAAGAAGGAAUUUGCUGCCCAACUGUACUCUAUUUCCCAAAUUUCUCCCAACCUCACGGCGCAUCAGCUGCUCCGUCCAGGCGACGGCGCAUCAGCUGCUCCAUCCGACGACAGGAACCACAACCUCACGGUGCUCCUCACCUUCGACAUCUUCUUCUCCUUCACCCUACUCUACCCGCGCAGUCGCGCUCUCCCGCUGCUACCUAAAGGUUCGCCAGCGCGUCGCCCUGCACCGUAGAGAGGCCCUGCUGCAUGUUGCGCGGAGCCGUGGGCAGCGGACGGAAGCUUCAGCGGCACUUGUCCUGUCCGCGAUCCCGGCGUUUGCGUACAAGCUUCAGCGAACGGAAGCUUCAACGGAUAUCGUGUUUCUUGUGCCAGGUCCAAGGGGUGGUGCUCGAGGACUCGCCGAUGGCGUCUUGCUUCCUGACCGCCUCCUAGAACCUGACCGCCUCGUCCACCGUCAGCCUGACAGCGGUCGCGCCCUCGGCCGGCCCUAGGACGAUCUGGUUGGACCUCGGCCUUGUGCCAGCAGAGAGCAGAUCCCAGCGCGUGGUGCUGCCUGUGCCUGUCCAACGCCGAACAAAAGAGAGGCAGAGAGCAGAUCUAACGAAAGAGAAGGGAUCCUACCGGAGAGAAGCUCGCCAGCAGUAGAGGUCGUCGACGACGAGGAGGAUGACUCGUCUUCUUUGCGCCGCCGCCGC